CAGAGUUGCAAAACUCCCACAAACCAUCGCGAAUCUUACCCGUACGGUUGCCUCGGCGCUGGCGGCCCGGAAGGCCCUCGGGCCCCCCGGAUCCUCGGGUCUCCCGCUCGCGGGAGGCUGCCCGCCGGAGUGCCGAAACCAAACUCUUGAUAUUUUAUGUCUCUCUGAGUAAACUUUUAAAUAAGUCA
rnacentral:misc_RNA from 1 species